UUAUAUAAUGAACAGUCAAAUUAAUUGAAUAUUUUGUUCCAAUUCCAUUAUAAUGUUUUGUUUUAAAUGUGCUUUUAUUUUAAUGUGUAAACACUACUGAGAAGUGUGGUAGUAAUCUUUGAUCUUCAUUGAAUUUUAAGAUUUAGGUCAGUUAGUUUUCUCACUUAACUUUCCUGACAAAGCUGAACCCCCAAAAAUGUU